GGCAGGAGGCCCGGGUGUUCGUGCGGAGCCGAGCGCAGCAGGGCCCGGCGGUACCUUGAUGCGCUCCCCGCCGAUGGUGACGGCGCGCUCGCGGAAGUCCACGCCGAUGGUGGCCUCCGUGCGCUCCGGGAAGCGGCCCGCGCAGAAGCGCAAUGCACCUGAUCAAAGCAAUUACUUAGGAAGAGCUUUCCCAUUCUAAUGCGAGUUGCCUACACUAGCAAGCACAGACCUGCCACAACAGUGGUGUUCUGGUGCAGACGAGAAGGCAUCGAUCUCGUUUCCGAGAGGCUCAGGAGGGAAUCAAAUACCACAAAGGUCCUGGAAAUUUACAAGGAGCGCUCUAUGAAGGAGCCAGGCCUUGAGGUGAAGAAUGACGAGGCUGGGAUGUACAGUGUGUCCUUUGUUCUGUGAGAGGAGGACUUUUGCCAGGAGGGGGAAUGGAGGAAAGGCAUAAAGAAUGCUCCUGUCUCAGAGAAGAAGAAAAGCGUUGCCUAGGAAGUGUUGCCCUAUCCCUGCUCUGGAACAGUAGCACGGACAUUUCUUGUUCAGAAAAUACAUUCUUCUGCCCACCAGAGGCUGCUGUGGCACGAGACCAGAGGGCAGUCGCUCCCAGGCGGAAGCAGCCCUCUGUGGAUAUGUAGGAGAAGAGACUGCAUUCCUUACAGCACCCUGCCUGUGGGACCAGCAUCGUCAACACUUGAAGGACAAAGGAAGCAUCAAUGGACUGGGGAGGGAUCAUGGCUGAAAGAAUUUCAGUCAGUAAGACUGCUAAAACAUGUGGUCACCUUCGAAUUGUGCCAAAAUUUACUGGAAGAACAGCUGCUUCAAAUGCAACCCCUCAGAUCUGCUUCAUCAGGACAAGAGACCAUGAAUAUGCAGAAUGAUCUUACUCUCAAAUUAAAUUUGUAUGUUUUUCUUUUGAAAAUUAUACAAGGGCUCGAAAGAGUGUUUUAGAAUUACCCCACCAAAUCCUACUUGGAUUUUAACUUUAGACCUGCAUUGUAUAAACAGAAUACGUAGUAGUAAUAAUACCACUUUUCAUCCGUAGAUCGAAAAGCAUUUGAACAAAGGUUAGUAUCAUCACAUUUUUACAGAUGAGGAAACUGUGGCACAGAGAGUUAAAAUGAUUUGCCCACUGUCACCAAGCAGGCUGCUGGCAGAAUAGAACCCAGAUCUCCUGAGUCUCAGUCCAGCGCUCUAUCCACUGGGCUACACUGCCUCUAUUUUUAAUAGAGAGUUAGCAUUCACUUGUUACAAGUCAAUUCCUGGCUUGCAACUUUAACCACUCAAUUAGGAGCUCCAGUCUAACUAUCAAUGUCAAGCAUACAAGUAUCUAUAUCUACAGAAUAUACCCCAAACACUUCAACUGCACACAAAAUAAAUCCAGGAAAUUUCUUAUACCUGUA